rnacentral:piRNA from 1 species
UAGUAAUUAAGGUCAGAAUGAAAGAGUGUG